GGGUUGUGAGGUUAAGCGACUAAGCGUACACGGUGGAUGCCCUGGCAGUCAGAGGCGAUGAAGGACGUGCUAAUCUGCGAUAAGCGUCGGUAAGGUGAUAUGAACCGUUAUAACCGGCGAUUUCCGAAUGGGGAAACCCAGUGUGAUUCGUCACACUAUCAUUAACUGAAUCCAUAGGUUAAUGAGGCGAACCGGGGGAACUGAAACAUCUAAGUACCCCGAGGAAAAGAAAUCAACCGAGAUUCCCCCAGUAGCGGCGAGCGAACGGGGAGGAGCCCAGAGCCUGAAUCAGUGUGUGUGUUAGUGGAAGCGUUUGGAAAGGCGCGCGAUACAGGGUGACAGCCCCGUACACAAAAAUGCACAUGCUGUGAGCUC
rnacentral:rRNA from 1 species